rnacentral:rRNA from 1 species
AGAGUUUGAUCAUGGCUCAGGAUGAACGCUGGCGGCGUGCCUAACACAUGCAAGUCGAGCGAUUCUCUUCGGAGAAGAGCGGCGGACGGGUGAGUAACGCGUGGGUAACCUGCCCUGUGCACACGGAUAACAUACCGAAAGGUAUGCUAAUACGAGAUAAUAUGCUUUUAUCGCAUGGUAGAAGUAUCAAAGCUUUUGCGGUACAGGAUGGACCCGCGUCUGAUUAGCUAGUUGGUAAGGUAACGGCUUACCAAGGCGACGAUCAGUAGCCGACCUGAGAGGGUGAUCGGCCACAUUGGAACUGAGACACGGUCCAAACUCCUACGGGAGGCAGCAGUGGGGAAUAUUGCACAAUGGGCGAAAGCCUGAUGCAGCAACGCCGCGUGAGCGAUGAAGGCCUUCGGGUCGUAAAGCUCUGUCCUCAAGGAAGAUAAUGACGGUACUUGAGGAGGAAGCUCCGGCUAACUACGUGCCAGCAGCCGCGGUAAUACGUAGGGGGCUAGCGUUAUCCGGAAUUACUGGGCGUAAAGGGUGCGUAGGUGGUUUCUUAAGUCAGAGGUGAAAGGCUACGACUCAACCGUAGUAAGCCUUUGAAACUGGGAAACUUGAGUGCAGGAGAGGAGAGUGGAAUUCCUAGUGUAGCGGUGAAAUGCGUAGAUAUUAGGAGGAACACCAGUUGCGAAGGCGGCUCUCUGGACUGUAACUGACACUGAGGCACGAAAGCGUGGGGAGCAAACAGGAUUAGAUACCCUGGUAGUCCACGCCGUAAACGAUGAGUACUAGCUGUGGAGGUUACCCCCUUCGGUGGCGCAGCU